rnacentral:rRNA from 1 species
CACCAGACUCCUACGGGAGGCAGCAGUGGGGAAUAUUGCACAAUGGGGGAAACCCUGAUGCAGCGACGCCGCGUGAAGGAAGAAGUAUUUCGGUAUGUAAACUUCUAUCAGCAGGGAAGAAAAUGACGGUACCUGACUAAGAAGCCCCGGCUAACUACGUGCCAGCAGCCGCGGUAAUACGUAGGGGGCAAGCGUUAUCCGGAUUUACUGGGUGUAAAGGGGGCGCAGACGGCGAUGCAAGCCAGGAGUGAAAGCCCAGGGCCCAACCCCGGGACUGCUCUUGGAACUGCGUGGCUAGAGUGCAGGAGGGGCAGGCGGAAUUCCUGGUGUAGCGGUGAAAUGCGUAGAUAUCAGGAGGAACACCGGUGGCGAAGGCGGCCUGCUGGACUGCAACUGACGUUGAGGCCCGAAAGCGUGGGGAGCAAACAGGAUUAGAUACCCGAGUAAA